AGUGAACGCUGGCGGUAGGCCUAACACAUGCAAGUCGAACGGCAGCACAGUAAGAGCUUGCUCUUACGGGUGGCGAGUGGCGGACGGGUGAGGAAUACAUCGGAAUCUACUUUUUCGUGGGGGAUAACGUAGGGAAACUUACGCUAAUACCGCAUACGACCUACGGGUGAAAGCAGGGGAUCUUCGGACCUUGCGCGAUUGAAUGAGCCGCUGUCGGAUUAGCUAGUUGGCGGGGUAAAGGCCCACCAAGGCGACGAUCCGUAGCUGGUCUGAGAGGAUGAUCAGCCACACUGGAACUUAGACACGGUCCAGACUCCUACGGGAGGCAGCAGUGGGGAAUAUUGGACAAUGGACGCAAGCCUGAUCCAGCCAUACCGCGUGGGUGAAGAAGGCCUUCGGGUUGUAAAGCCCUUUUGUUGGGAAAGAAAAGCAGCAGGUUAAUACCCCGCUGUUCUGACGGUACCCAAAGAAUAAGCACCGGCUAACUUCGUG
rnacentral:rRNA from 1 species